GAGGAGUCAUGGACCAUGACACGGCU
rnacentral:piRNA from 1 species